rnacentral:misc_RNA from 1 species
ACACCUCAACUCUCAUGGUUUUGCCGUGAUGAGCUUGGACUUUGGGGGUCUUGCUGGCCUGCGGUCGGCUCCUCUCAAAUGAAUCAGCUUGCCAGUGUUUGGUGGCAUCACGGGUGUGAUAACUAUCUACGCUUGUGGUUUUCCACCAGGUAACCUUCAGUGAUGGAGGUUCGCUGGAGCUCAUAAACGUCUCUCCUUAGCGAGGACAGUUUCCUGAAU